rnacentral:rRNA from 1 species
CGAAUUGCGAUAUGUAAUGUGAAUUGCAGAAUUCAGUGAAUCAUCGAAUCUUUGAACGCACAUUGCG